rnacentral:rRNA from 1 species
UACAGAGGUGCCGAGCGUUAGGCGGAAUCACUGGGCUUAAAGCGUGUGUAGGCGGACUUCUAAGUACCUUGUGAAAUCCCACGGCUCACCCGUGGAACUGCUGGGUAUACUGGUCGUCUUGAGCCACCUAGGGGCGAGCGGAACAAAUGGUGGAACGGUGAAAUGCGUAGAUAUCAUUUGGAACGCCAACGGUGAAAACAGCUCGCUGGGGGUGUGCUGACGCUGAGACACGAAAGCCAGGGGAGCGAACGGG